rnacentral:rRNA from 1 species
GACGAACGCUGGCGGCGUGCUUAACACAUGCAAGUCGAACGGAAAGGCCCUGCUUUUGUGGGGUGCUCGAGUGGCGAACGGGUGAGUAACACGUGAGUAACCUGCCCUUGACUUUGGGAUAACUUCAGGAAACGGGGGCUAAUACCGGAUAGGAGCUCCGGCUGCAUGGUGGGGGUUGGAAAGGUUCGGCGGUUGGGGAUGGACUCGCGGCUUAUCAGCUUGUUGGUGGGGUAGUGGCUUACCAAGGCUUUGACGGGUAGCCGGCCUGAGAGGGUGACCGGCCACAUUGGGACUGAGAUACGGCCCAGACUCCUACGGGAGGCAGCAGUGGGGAAUAUUGCACAAUGGGCGGAAGCCUGAUGCAGCAACGCCGCGUGCGGGAUGACGGCCUUCGGGUUGUAAACCGCUUUCGCCUGUGACGAAGCGUGAGUGACGGUAACGGGUAAAGAAGCACCGGCUAACUACGUG